GGGGCCAGACGCCAAGAGGGGCGCGGGGAGCACAGAGAAGCGGAGGGAAGGGCGCCACGUCGAGGGGCCGGGGGAGGCGGUGACUGGGGGGCGGAGUGGAGGCUGCACCCGGACCGCGGGCGCCCAGCUCGGUUUGGGCCGACGGAGCCCUCUGCCGUCGCGAGCCCGGGCCUCGGGAGGGGGACAGGCGGUGGCGGCACCGGGGCCGCUCCGGGACGCAGCGCGGAAAGGGGAGCGGCCCGAGGCUGCGCGCCGGGGGGAGGGCUGGAGGGGGAGCGCGGGGGGGGGUGACAACGCCGGCGGCCUGCGAGCCGGACUGCCUGCGGGGGGAACCGCCUCCUCGGGCGAAGCGGGGAUGGGGGGAGUUGAGGUAGAUGAAGAGGAGGCGGCGGGGAAUCCGCAGGCCCGGCGGAGCGCGACCCCGCGGACGGCGCCCGGGACGGGAGUCAGCAGCGAGGCAGCGGGCGGCGUCGACGCGGGGCCGCCUUGCCCGAUGGAGGCGCUGGUGGGCAGAGCGCGGGCAGGCGUGGGCCAGGAGGCGGGGGCGGCCGGAAGGGGGGGGCCGGGGCCGGCCGGGCCUCACGCAGCUCCGCCG
rnacentral:lncRNA from 1 species